rnacentral:rRNA from 1 species
GUCCACACCGUAAACGAUGGAUACUAGGUGUCGGGGACUUGAUCUUCGGUGCCGUAGCUAACGCGUUAAGUAUCCCGCCUGGGGAGUACGGUCGCAAGGCUGAAACUCAAAGAAAUUGACGGGGCCCGCACAAGCGGUGGAGUAUGUGGUUUAAUUCGAUGCAACGCGAAGAACCUUACCUAGGCUUGACAUCCUGGGAAUCCUGCAGAGAUGCGGGAGUGCCCUUCGGGGAAUCCAGAGACAGGUGCUGCAUGGCUGUCGU